AUUGAACGCUGGCGGCAUGCUUUACACAUGCAAGUCGAACAGCAGCGCGGGGCAACCUGGCGGCGAGUGGCGAACGGGUGAGUAAUAUAUCGGAACGUACCCAGGAGUGGGGGAUAACGUAGCGAAAGUUACGCUAAUACCGCAUACGAUCUAUGGAUGAAAGCAGGGGAUCGCAAGACCUUGUGCUCAUGGAGCGGCCGAUAUCUGAUUAGCUAGUUGGUGAGGUAAAGGCUCACCAAGGCGACGAUCAGUAGCUGGUCUGAGAGGACGACCAGCCACACUGGAACUGAGACACGGUCCAGACUCCUACGGGAGGCAGCAGUGGGGAAUUUUGGACAAUGGGCGCAAGCCUGAUCCAGCAAUGCCGCGUGAGUGAAGAAGGCCUUCGGGUUGUAAAGCUCUUUUGUCAGGGAAGAAACGGCUGUGGCUAAUAUCCACGGCUAAUGACGGUACCUGAAGAAUAAGCACCGGCUAACUACGUGCCAGCAGCCGCGGUAAUACGUAGGGUGCAAGCGUUAAUCGGAAUUACUGGGCGUAAAGCGUGCGCAGGCGGUUUUGUAAGUCUGUCGUGAAAGCCCCGGGCUCAACCUGGGAAUUGCGAUGGAGACUGCAAGGCUUGAAUCUGGCAGAGGGGGGUAGAAUUCCACGUGUAGCAGUGAAAUGCGUAGAGAUGUGGAGGAACACCGAUGGCGAAGGCAGCCCCCUGGGUCAAGAUUGACGCUCAUGCACGAAAGCGUGGGGAGCAAACAGGAUAGAUACCCUGGUAGUCCACGCCCUAAACGAUGUCUACUAGUUGUCGGGUCUUAAUUGACUUGGUAACGCAGCUAACGCGUGAAGUAGACCGCCUGGGGAGUACGGUCGCAAGAUUAAAACUCAAAGGAAUUGACGGGGACCCGCACAAGCGGUGGAUGAUGUGGAUUAAUUCGAUGCAACGCGAAAAACCUUACCUACCCUUGACAUGUCAGGAAGUCCGGAGAGAUCUGGAUGUGCCCGAAAGGGAACCUGAACACAGGUGCUGCAUGGCUGUCGUCAGCUCGUGUCGUGAGAUGUUGGGUUAAGUCCCGCAACGAGCGCAACCCUUGUCAUUAGUUGCUACGAAAGGGCACUCUAAUGAGACUGCCGGUGACAAACCGGAGGAAGGUGGGGAUGACGUCAAGUCCUCAUGGCCCUUAUGGGUAGGGCUUCACACGUCAUACAAUGGUACAUACAGAGGGCCGCCAACCCGCGAGGGGGAGCUAAUCCCAGAAAGUGUAUCGUAGUCCGGAUCGCAGUCUGCAACUCGACUGCGUGAAGUUGGAAUCGCUAGUAAUCGCGGAUCAGCAUGUCGCGGUGAAUACGUUCCCGGGUCUUGUACACACCGCCCGUCACACCAUGGGAGCGGGUUUUACCAGAAGUAGGUAGCUUAACCGCAAGGAGGACGCUUACCACGGUAGGAUUCGUGACUGGGGUG
rnacentral:rRNA from 1 species